CUCAAAUAAGCAAUGAGAAACAACAGUCCAUCAUUACUUUAAGGAGCGAGGGCAGCAGGAAGAAUGUCAGUAAAGAAGAAAGUAGCCAAGACAAAUCCAUGAAACAAGCAGCAGUAAGGACAGAAAUGGGGGUAAAAACAGAAAAGAUACGAGAAAGAAGAAAAAGCCUCCCCCUGGAAUGUAUCUGAUAUAAGCUACCCCAACCAUAAUGGUGGUGGUAUGUUGGAAAUGGAGAGACUGGGAUGUUUGGAGAGACUGGGAUGUUUGAAGAACUGGUCAAAGCAAUAAUCUCCAUGUACAACCCCACCACCACCAGGGAAAUUUAAGAAGUACUCCGUCGCUGUUUAAAAUAUAAAUGGAAGGACUAUAAACAUACGUGGGAUCAUGAUGUAUUAGUGGUAGAUCGUGGUGACCAACUCUACGCAGUAUUUACAGCUAUAAAGGCUGCUUUUCCUAAACACACAGGCUGGCAGAAAAUCCAUUUUACCAAACAGGGACCUGAUGAAAAAUGUUGUGACUACAUGGAAAGACUAGAGACAGUCUUCCUCUAACACUCAGGCCUGACGUCUGACCAAGCCUCAUACAGCAGCCUAUUGUGCCAUGCUUUGGUGACAGGAAUGAGACAAGAUUUGAAGACUGCUGUAACCACAACUUGUAUUGCAUGGGAAACAAAUCCACUGCCUGAUGUCAAGCCUUACAUCACCCAUGGGGAAAGACAGUUGAAUGAAAAUGAAACUAAGGACAGAAAGACACUGAAGAAAGCACAGCUGAUGUACUAUUCUGGAAGAGGGAGAGAACGUCAAUGAAAUGGGGGUAACCGUGGAAACCGCAGGGGCAGAGGAAGAAGUAGAGGCUAAGGGUCCUCUGCAGGAGCUGAUGGAGAGAGAGACUGGAGCUGCUACAACUGUGGGAAGGUAGGGCAUUUCUCAAGUGAUUGUCCUGAAGGAGGAGAACAACAAAACGAUUGGCCUUCCCCACCUGUUGGCGUUACAACCCAUUUGGAGGAGAGGAGGUCGGGGAGGAGAUCGAGGGGGAUACCAAACACAAGACGAGGUGGAAACAGAAGAAGAAACUAAUGAAGAAAACAAUGAUGAAGAACCAGAAGAAACCUGUCAAAUGCUAAAAAUGACCACCGUGCCAACUCAAAAGCCCCGGAUUUACAUUGUAGUGAAUAACCAUAAAAUUCCAUUUUUGCUGGACACUGGGGCCGUGGUCUCAGUGCUGAAAACGUCUGCCCUAUCUGUUCCCCCCUCAAAGAAAACAAUGCGCCCAGUUGGGGCGUCUGGAAUUCUCCCUGAAGAACGUUUGACCUUUCCCCUGGAAGGGAUGUGGGGUGAGGGGAAACGGAAACACAGAUUCCUAUAUUCAUCUGCCUGCCCAGUAAAUUUAUUAGGAAGAGAUCUGAUGUGUAAAAUGAAUUUAUCUGUUGCAUGUACUGAUGAAGGACUGUCAUUGGGAUCAAGAGAAAUCUAUCCCUCUCUUCACCAUUGUGUGCUUCCUGGGAAGUUUCUGAACAUCUACGUUUUACUGCUGCUGUUUCCUCAUUCGAACGAGACCCCGAGUAGCAACAGAGAUGGUUGAACCUGAAAGAUGAGAUAAUGAAUGGGAUAUGCAGAGGAGAAGACUUCGUAGCAGCUGGAGUGUUGUUGACGGACCCUAAGAGAAGUCUGUAUGAAGUCCAUGGCUCUGUUCCACAUUGCAGCUUAUCAAAAGCACAAGGAAAGCAAUGGACAGAUGAACCAAUUCCCAUUGAAACCAUGCCUGGGGUAUUACAAGAUAAUUCACACAUUGAUUGGCUAAGAGACAUGAAGAACUGUGGGCUAAAUCAAAGACGGACAUUGGACGCAUUAAAGGUGUCACGAAUCCCGCUUCCUGAGUCUGUUUUUGCCUGUGUUCUGUCCUGGAGUGUUUUUUCCGGUGUCCUGGAACGCACCCUGUCUGGUUGCCGGGCGACGUAGCUAGUUGGGAGAUCUCAGAUUACCCGCACCUGUAUCCCAUCAGCUAUCUGCACACCUGGUCCUGAUCAUCACCCCUCCACUUCAUAAGCUCUGACCUGACAUCCAUUCCCUGCCGGAUCGUUAGCCAUGAACAUCAUUCAUCCGGAACACUCACCCCAUUCCUGCCUGGUCGUCAGUGGCUUCUGUUACUCCCUUGGAUCUGCCUAUUCACUCCCAUCAACUCACCUCCACUGCCCGCUCCGCCACCUGGAUCUUUCUACCUCUACGUUUAAACUUGUAAAUAAAUACUCACCUUCGUCCUACUCUCCUUGUCUUGGUCUGCUUCUGGGUUCUACUUUAGAAAACCGUGACAAAAGGAGCUGUGCCUGUUGGGGUCCUUCCAAAAAAGUACCCACAGACCCUACAAAGCUCAGUACCCUCUUAGCAAAGAAGGUAUCAUUCCCAUUUAUAGUGCGUUAGUUGGAAAAGGCACUUUGAUUCCCUGUCCGAAUUCACCCUGUAAAACACCCAUUUGACCUGUUAGGAAGCCAUCUGGCGAUUAUCGUUUUGUGCAAGACUUUAGAAUAGUAAAACGAUGUGGUACAUGGCUAGAGCACCUCAGGUGCCUAACACUGUUACCAUUUUAUCCCAGGUAUUUGUUGUUUUUCAGUGAUUGAUUUGGCCAUUUUUGGGGGGGGUUUGCUCACAAAGGAGACAUUUGAGCAUUGUUGAUAUUCUUAGCAGAAAAUGGUCACACAGUUUCCCCAAGUAAAAUGCAGUUAUGCCGGAGCUCCGUUCGAUAUUUAGGGCACGACAUUACUUCUGAGGGACGCGACCUCUCCAAAGAUAGAUUAGAGGCAAUUCAAGUUUUAAGCAGCACAUGUCUUUGUUGGGUGUGGCUGGUUACUGUCGUCCGUGGUUGAAAGACUAUGCAGAGAGAGUUCAACCAUUGCAGGAUUGCAUUUAUGGGAGAAAGAUGGAGGCGAGUGAAAUUGUGGUCUGGACAGAUGAGGCUGACGGCAUUGGUAAAAUUGAAACAAACUCUGAUGUUCGCCCCUUGCCUGGGCCUGCCAUACCAUACAAAACCUUUUCAUCUAUUUGUUUCUGAUACCAGUUUUGACACGGUACCAUGGUUUGGGAUAUAGACCUGUGGGUUAUUAUUCUCAACGAUUGGAUAGUGUCAUCAGGGGAAUGGUUUCCUGUUUGAGGUCGGUAGCGGCUGUUACUGAGGCUGUUUUGGCUUGCUCUGAUAUUGUGGCUGUCUCCCCUAACCGUACAUGUGCCUCAUGCUGUGCACACAAUUAUUACACAGGCAAGAACGGCUCAUUUGACGCCUGCGAGACUGCUAGACCAUCAGAACAUUCUGUUGACAAUGUCCCAUGUUACUCUGAAACGUACAAUGUACAAUUCUUAACCCUGCAAAUCUUCUUCCCACGGCUGAGGCCGGUGAAGACCACGAUUGUGACUUGGCUAUUGAGAUUGACUGUAGGGCCUAGGAUGGACUUGAGAGACACCCCGUUAGAAAAUCCAUAUUUUGAGUUUUUUUUGUAGACGGGUCUGCUCAGCGUAAUGAUAAAGAGGAGCCUUUAGUUGGAUAUGCUGUUGUGGCUAGUUUAGAGACGGUGGAGAGUGCAAAGGCUCCCAUCAAACUUGUCUGCUCAAGUAGCAGAAUUAUUUGGUUUGACUAGACCUUGUAUUUUGGCUCUGUUAACAUAUACACCGGCAGUAGAUAUGCAUUUGGUAUAGUGCAUGAUUUUGGAAUAUUGUGGAAGAAUAGAGGGUUUUUGACUUCUUCUGGAAAGCAACUUGCUCACAGUAAGCUUGUGUCCUCUCUGUUGGAGGCUGUUCAACGCCCCUCGUUAAUCUCAGUGAUACAGUGUCAGGCCUAUACUCCUUUUAAAGAUAAUGUUUCUCGGGGCAAUGCCAAGGCUGACUGUGCAGCUAAACAGGCUGCGUCCUCUGUUUCCCCCCCUCCUACAAAUGGAGGUAGGUCCAGCCCCCACAUACUUUUCCCUCUGUUAAGGACAUCGUUGCUUUACAGGCGACGGCUGACCCUUCAGAGAAAUGCAAGUGGGCUGGCUGCUGUCGUAAGGAUGACUCGGGCGUAUGGCUGGAUGAGUGGAGCAGGCCUGCCAUGCCCCGUUGUACACUCCACUAUCUCGCAAAAUUGUCACAUGGUCAGGAUGAACAUGUGUCAAAAGGAGGGAUGGUGAAGCUUGUAAAUAAAUAUUGGUGUACAGUAGGUUUUACUGUGUUUGCAGAAAAUGUCUGCAAGAGAUGUAUGACUAACAAUGUUGGACUCGGCAUUUCAAUAUCCCCCGCGUCCCAUCCAAGGCCUGAAGGACCCUUUGAGCACUUAAUUAUGGACUUGUGAGGGGAAUAAUUAUUGCUUGGUGAUUGCUGACAUGUUUUCUAAAUGAAUUGAAGCGUUCCCUUGCAGGAGAGCCACAGCGGCUGUUGUGGCCAAAGCACUCGUGAGAGAGAUCCCAUAUAGUCACUGGUCUCUCUCCACACGAGAUGCUGACUGGCCGUCCUAUGCGAAUGACAGAUGUACCUUUCGCCCAGAACAGGUUGUCCCUGCAAGGAAUGGAGGAAGACAUGGUUGAGCAUUGUAACAUUGUAACACUCAUAACACUGUUCCUAAGUCUCUUUUUCCCCAGGUGAAGGCUUCUCUGCCAGAUCUAACAGGUGGAUCUGAACACCGUUUGAACCCAGAUUAUUUUGUGUACCAAGUUCUUCUGACCACCCCCACCGCGGUGAAGGUUGUUGAGAGAGAUACCUGGAUCCACGUCGCACUGCAGACGAGUUCCUGAUCCAGAAGACGAUGGGCCCUCGCCAGUUCGUGGUGCAGCCAGUUCCAGUGGUGCGGUGUGGCCCUCCUCUGCAUUAGCACGGGAGGGCUAAUGAGAACAGUAGGUUGACCCCUUGUGGGAAACCUGACAGAGGGUAGAAGGAUCCCUGAGCGAAAGAGGCCGACGCUGGUCCGGAGUAGUGACCCAGAAGCAGAUGGUCAUCGUCGAAAGAGAGCCUUGCUGGGCCCUCACAAUAAUGAGGACAAUUAGUUUUUAUCUAGAGCAGAAUGGUUGCUAAUCUUACAUCUGGACAAAAAGCAUGUUGGGUGUGUGGAUUGGGGCCAGUUAUUUAAGGUAGGAGCAGGUUUACCGCUAGUGGGAGUUCCUAUGGGGGUAAAUCUGACUAUGCAAAUGGACUUACCAUUCUUAGUGCUAAUGCCACUUAACCCUGACCCCAUGACAUUCUCUGCAUUGUUCAACCACACAGACCCACCGUCAUUUGCUAGGCCAGAUAUACUUUACUCCCGCCCAUUUCAGUAGCAGGAGUGAUGACAGCCCCUUGGUGUAUUAGAGGAGGAGGAGGAAAUCAUUUGGGUGAACUAGAAUGUAA